GCAUAGUGUUAUUGUUAUCAACACAUCUCAACUUCAUUUUCUCAUUCAAUAGCCACACAGGUGAACACUAGAUUAUGGAAAUAAAUGUAAGUCUCAAGUGGUCCCAUCCCUUCUGUCACUCUAAUUCAGAACCUAGUUGUUAAGAUUCUGAAAGCAGUGCAUAUAGCAACAGAUGAUAGAAGAGUG
ensembl:ribozyme